rnacentral:rRNA from 1 species
CCCUUAGAUGUCCGGGGCCGCACGCGCGCUACACUGAAGGAAUCAGCGUGGCUUUCUCCCUGACCCGAAAGGGUUGGGAAACCCGUUGAAUCUCCUUCGUGAUAGGGAUUGGGGCUUGAAAUUGUUCCCCAUGAACGAGGAAUUCCCAGUAAGCGCGAGUCAUAAGCUCGCGUUGAUUGCGUCCCUGCCCUUUGUACACACCGCCCGUCGCUACUACCGAUUGAACGGUUUAGUGAGGGCCUCGGAUUGGUCUCGGCCCGCUCUUUACCGGGCGGCGCCGUUGGUCGAGAAGACGCUCGAACUUGAUCGUUUAGAGGAAGUAAAAGUCGUAACA